UGAUAUCAAAAAUAAUACUUGUGUUCACAGUCAAGGAAUUACUAGAUAUUACUAAUAAAGUUACAGGUAUACAUCUCUGCUUCCAUAACGAGCAUAUAUAGGUCUUCGAGCUUCACUUGUCACACUUAAACUAUUCCAUCGAGAACUUAUUACCUUCAUAGCUUUGGAUUCAUCGACAACAUGCUAGCUUCUGCCUUCACUGGACUGAAGAUUCAGAUUCACUGCCAUCACUUACAUCUUGUUCAGAUUUACAGCCAUCACUUAAAUCUUCUUCAGAUUCAUUACCGUCAGUAACGUCUUUUUCAUAUUCACAGUCAUCACUUACAUCUUCUUCCUUAGAAUUGAACAUCUGUUGUAUCCAUGUAUUCAGAUCAUCUACUUUCACCUCAUCAUCAUAGUUCACACUUUCGAGACUCGGUGUGCUCACAGAACCGAGGCCAAACGUCUUCAUUGAAGGGCAGCUAUAAAUAAACACUUUCCUGAGAAAUGGAAAUUCAAGAGCAUGCUUCGUCUGAAAGAAAUGCCCCAGCUUUGGCAGAUCGUAAAGAUCCAGCUGUUCUAACCGGGGAAAUAAGGGCCCAUUAGUCAUAUUUUCUCCUUGUUCCUCUUCUG
rnacentral:misc_RNA from 1 species